GGUGAGGCUCCCUCUCCUCCUGGUUGGGAAAGAGGAAGUACAUAACCCCAAUAGCUGCCCGCAGCUAUCAGGAGGCGCGUGGAACGUGACAGCAGUAUGGGUGAAGAAACUAAGAAUCAGAGGAGUUCUAACUGAGCCAUGAGGACUCGAUUCCUGAAAACCUUAUUUAUAAAAAACAGGAAUGGGAACUAAAACAAGGCAACCUGUGCAAGCCCUUACAAGUUUUUCAUGUAUUACAGUAAAAGGUAAAGCAACUUAAAAACCACUUGACAUUUUUUAACAUUUGUAAAAUUUUGUAAUGCACAGUUGUCUCUCAUUUACCAUCCCUUGCUAGAAACUUCUUAGGCUCACCCUUCACUGCAUUUCCAACAUUAUUUUGCUGAUAAUGUAUACGCCCAAGUGACAUGUUUUCAUUUGGCUUAACUUUCAAUGCCUUUUUGAUUUUAUGAUCUAGUCCUUUAUUGCUGGACCCUUGAAUUGUAUCUAGUCUUCUGCUAUUACAAAAAAUGCUGAAUCAAAUAAACCUGAACAUGUAACAUCA
rnacentral:lncRNA from 1 species